GAUGAACGCUGGCGGCGUGCCUAAUACAUGCAAGUCGAGCGAACAGACGAGGAGCUUGCUCCUCUGACGUUAGCGGCGGACGGGUGAGUAACACGUGGAUAACCUACCUAUAAGACUGGGAUAACUUCGGGAAACCGGAGCUAAUACCGGAUAAUAUAUUGAACCGCAUGGUUCAAUAGUGAAAGACGGUUUUGCUGUCACUUAUAGAUGGAUCCGCGCCGCAUUAGCUAGUUGGUAAGGUAACGGCUUACCAAGGCAACGAUGCGUAGCCGACCUGAGAGGGGGAUCGGCAACACUGGAACUGAGAACCGGUCCAGACUCCUAGGGGAGGCAGCAGUAGGGAAUCUUCCGAAAUGGGCGAAAGCCUGACGGAGCAACGCGGCGUGAGUGAUGAAGGUCUUCGGAUCGUAAAACUCUGUUAUUAGGGAAGAACAAAUGUGUAAGUAACUAUGCACGUCUUGACGGUACCAAAUAAGAAAGCCACGGCUAACUACGU
rnacentral:rRNA from 1 species